UUUGGGCAUAUGCUCCAUAAUGCCAUCUGGCAUAAAUAUGGAUAGUGGUUUUCUCUACAGUGGAGAAAAAGUUUAAUUUAUGUGAAAAGGUAUGUCCCUUCCUCCUUAAGGAAACUGUAGGACAUUCAGAUACUCACCACUUGUGGUAAAAGGUCCUUCCUUCUUAGCUGGUUAAAAAUGCUAACAUGCUUUUGUCAGGCCAAGAUAUCAAGCUUUUUUUAUUUUAGAUUUACCUUUUUUAGUACAGCCUUAUAAAUUAGCAGUUGCCGUUGUUUCUCAGACUCUAGUAGUCCUUAAACACAAAAUGAUUGAAUUAAACCCUGACUUACUUGGAAAAACAAGUUACCAAGGAUUACU
rnacentral:lncRNA from 1 species